rnacentral:rRNA from 1 species
AUUGAACGCUGGCGGCAUGCUUUACACAUGCAAGUCGAACGGCAGCGCGGGCUUCGGCCUGGCGGCGAGUGGCGAACGGGUGAGUAAUGCAUCGGAACGUGCCCAGUAGUGGGGGAUAGCCCGGCGAAAGCCGGAUUAAUACCGCAUACGACCUGAGGGUGAAAGCGGGGGACCGAAAGGCCUCGCGCUAUUGGAUCGGCCGAUGUCGGAUUAGCUAGUUGGUGGGGUAAAGGCUUACCAAGGCGACGAUCCGUAGCUGGUCUGAGAGGACGACCAGCCACACUGGAACUGAGACACGGCCCAGACUCCUACGGGAGGCAGCAGUGGGGAAUUUUGGACAAUGGGGGCAAGCCUGAUCCAGCCAUGCCGCGUGCGGGAAGAAGGCCUUCGGGUUGUAAACCGCUUUUGUUCGGGAAGAAAUGCUCUGGGCUAAUACCCCGGGGGGAUGACGGUACCGGAAGAAUAAGCACCGGCUAACUACGUG